rnacentral:lncRNA from 1 species
AAAAAUGGUCUCAUUGUUAUGGGUGACCUACCCAAGUGGAAGAGUAUGACUUACCAGACAAAAAAACUUGGCAAACGAAGUCCUGACAGGAUAAAAGCUGACAAAUGGCGCUUCCUGAUUGCAGGGUUGACUUGAAGACUCCUUUUGAUGCCAGGGUUGAUUUCCUUAUUUCUUUGAGAUUUUCCUACUGGUAGGGUUCAUCUCAUUCUUUUCUCAUUCCAGGAUCUAAA